rnacentral:rRNA from 1 species
UACGGAGGGGGCUAGCGUUGUUCGGAAUUACUGGGCGUAAAGCGCGCGUAGGCGGCUUUGUAAGUUAGAGGUGAAAGCCCGGAGCUUAACUCCGGAACUGCCUUUAAGACUGCAUCGCUAGAAUCGUGGAGAGGUGAGUGGAAUUCCGAGUGUAGAGGUGAAAUUCGUAGAUAUUCGGAAGAACACCAGUGGCGAAGGCGACUUACUGGACGACUGUUGACGCUGAGGUGCGAAAGCGUGGGGAGCAAACAGG